rnacentral:lncRNA from 1 species
CAUGUAUACAUCCUUCUAUUUUUUUUCUUUCAUUUUUUUUUCUAUUUUCUUUUUCUAUUUUUAUUUUAUUUUUCUACCAACUUCUGAAAUAUUACAAACAUAAUCAUUCAACCCCACACAACUCCAAAUAAGACUCUUUCAAUCCUUUGAAUAGGACGAUAACAUUGUUUUUCACUUCUCGGUUUGUAAUGAGUUUUAAACAAAAAAAGAUAAUAGGCUCAAUGGGUUUUCAAACAAGGGAUGAUAUUAUUUCAGGGUUGACUUUUUGGCUAACUGGCUAAAAAAACAAAAAUCAAAACUGCAUUUAUCAUAUCAGUAUGCACAAGUAAACAACAACAUCAACAAGAGUCAAUUCAAGUUCUAGAGACUAACAAACACGAGUGAAUCACACAAGAAAGAAAGAGAUGGAUUUUUGUAUGUUAUCCAUAUAAGGCUCAAAGCUCACAAGGUUAAUUGAUCUACCACAAAUGAUGUACAAUUCAGAGUUUAGUCCUACCUAUCAUACAUGGAUUUUUGUAUGUUAUCCAUAUAAGGCUCAAAGCUCACAAGGUUAAUUGAUCUACCACAAAUGAUGUACAAUUCAGAGUUUAGUCCUACCUAUCAUACUAAAAAUGCACAUCAAAUUUUUCACAUCACACCACAAGACUUUAGUCAAGAGAACUAAGAAAAAUAUUCAUAAUUGUAACUCAAAAACCAAAGGAAAAAGCAUGCAAUUUUUUUUAAGAAAGCAAACAAAAACCAAAAUAGAGAAAAACUGGAAAAAAAAAAUAAAGAAAACAAAACAAAUAAAUGGUUCCCUCCCCCACACCUAAAAUAUACAUUGUCCUCAAUGAAAG